GAAGAAGUGGCUCAGCAAUUAAGAGCACUUGCUUUUCUUGCAAAGGACCUGAGUUCAAAUCCCAGCCUCCA
rnacentral:tRNA from 1 species